rnacentral:misc_RNA from 1 species
GAUGAAGAACGUAGCAAAAUGCGAUAAGUAAUGUGAAUUGCAGAAUUCAGUGAAUCAUCGAAUCUUUGAACGCACAUUGCGCCCGCCAGUAUUCUAGCGGGCAUGCCUGUUCGAGCGUCAUUUCAACCCUCAGGCCCCCAGUGCCUGGUGUUGGGGAUCGGCCCAGCCUUCCUGUAAGGCCGCCGGCCCCGAAAUCUAGUGGCGGUCUCGCUGUAGUCCUCCUCUGCGUAGUAGCACAACCUCGCAGUUGGAACGCGGCGGUGGCCAUGCCGUUAAACACCCCACUUCUGAAAGUUGACCUCGGAUCAGGUAGGAAUACCCGCUGAACUUAAGCAUAUCAAUAAGCGGAGGA